rnacentral:lncRNA from 1 species
GGGGGGGGCUAGGAUGAAAAAUUUUGUCCUGCAUUUUUUUUUAGCUGUAAUCUCUGUCCUGCCUUUUUAUUUUUCACUCUAAUCAGUCCUGCCUUUUUUUUAAUAGUUUAUCCUGACUUUUUUUUACCUAAAUUGUCGUCCUGACUUUUUUUUUUUUGCAAGUGCUACAUCCUGCCUUUUUUUUUUAACUCAAAACUCCUGUCCUGCCUAUUUUUUCAAAAUUUCAUCCUAGCCCCCCCCCCCCUAAAAUCAAAUGGUAGCUCCCUUA